AGUUCGCGCGUGCGCAGGCGCACUAAGCUGUGAGGCGCUGCGGACAAAUGAACUCCCUCAAGAAGGUGCACAGAGUGGUGGCGAGUCCUUUAUUUUAAUGCCAGACUUCAACUUCCUAAGUUUUCUCUUCCAUCCCUGUCUGUGAAGAAUCCGGGGAGUGUGUGAGUGCAAAUAUUAGUUUUACCUGCCUGCGGUUGCCACUCUGCAACGCUUCCCUCUUGAUGAAAACGUCUAGUUGCAGGAAAACAGGCUCACGGCUCCCACUGAUUCUACAUUAUGCUCUGUGGUAGCUCUGAAGGUGAAUGGCCUUGGAACCAUGAAAAUCAGCAGUCUAGCAGCCACUGGAGGUGAUAGAACAGAUCUACCACUUGUUAUUCAGGAACCUGCAUGCAGUCUUUAGAACAGUGGAGAGAAUCAGGUAAGCUUGUGCUUUAAUUUUUUAUCUAAUUCACUAAACUAAUAAAUACUUACAGAGUACCUACUGUAUGCAAAGCAUUAUAAGACCGCCAUAAGAUAUCACUUAAUAUCAAUUUUUCCUUUAAUUUAAUAAGAUUUUUUUCAUGCUAGUAUGUGUCUGUUUUAGAUAUUUUGUUAUAUAUGCAAAAAGGAAACAAUUGUCAAGGUGUUUUAUAAAGAUAACUUUCCUAGAAAAAAAGCCAUGACCUGCUGAAAAAGUUUUGGACUCCCACACUAUGACAUAAAAACUCAGCCUUGUAAACAAGGAUUUCUGGGAGUUUGAUAUACAAGGUCCUCCACCCAUUUUCCUGUCACACAGGAUGUAAUGGCUUUUGUUAUAAUGUAGUGUGACACUAAAUAACUGAUCACUGAGUGUGUUACUUAUUAUUUCAAUCACUCAAAAGAGCUACAUUUACAAGAAAUCAAAUGACCUUUAAUAGAUAGAAUGUACUGAUGUCAAAUUUUUAAAAACCAGGAUUAUGUUAUGAAACUUUUCAGGCAUAGAGAUUAAAGUUUCAUAUAUGCCAAGAAAAGCUUUGUUCUAAAAAACCCACAUUUAUAAUUUAGGUUCAUAUCUAAUAAUUUUCUAUAAGUCAGAAUUAAGAUCUAAGAUCCUGCCUUGCUUAAUCCAUGUCUUCUAAUAUGACUUCUGCUAGAAUGAACUGUCAUUUAACAGAACUUUUUUUUGCUGUGUUGACCACCUACUGGGAGUAUUUUAACCCAGUAGCUUACUCAAAUCACAUUAUAUUGUCAUUUUAUUGAGCUUUAGUUUUGGAACCAAGAUUUUACAUGCUGUUGAUGAAUAUAUCUAUUACAGUCUGUGUUAUAAUUGAGUUCUGGUUUUUGGACCAUCAGUUAAUAAGAGAGAUUAAUUAAUCACAUUUGUUCUCCUGUUGCCAUUGAUUAAGUCCACAAGAGUAUGGCAGGACUGGGUAGAGAUGAAGAUUGUUUAUCUAAUGUGCAAUAUUUGUUUAACACUAUUCUGCUAGUUAAGUGACUGCUGCUCUUGGAGAAGAGGAUUUGUACACAUAGUUAUUCAUUUAGUCUUCAGAAUUUAUUGGGCAUCUACUAUACCUGAAGCCAUUCUUGAGUAUUAAAUAAGAUCAACAAGUCCCUGCCCUCAUGAAGUUAAUUUUUGUUGUUGUUAAGAGAAGAUAAACAAUAAAUAAAUAAAUAAAUACAUUAAUGAGAAAACAUGUCACAUAGAAAUAAUGUUACACAAAUAAUUACGAUAGAAGAGUGGCUACUUUCAUUUGCAUAGUCAGAGAAGACAUGUCUAAAAAUAACACUUAAUGUGCCUUUUGAAUGACAAGAAGUCAGCCUUGUGAAGAUCACAUAAGGAUCAUCUAAGUUUAUCUGAAAAACAAAAACAAAAGUAAACCUAAACAAAAUUGUUUAAUGUCCCAAAUUUCCCUUUACCCCUCCUUAAUGAAUGCAUACACCUUUGCUCAAGAAGACUGGUGAAUAUGUAUAGAUUUUGAGCAAAAGUAUUAUUAGAAAAAUAACUCCAGGAGCAAGUUGCACUGAAGGUGAGUUAUUUGUCGAGGCAAAUAUAAAGUAAAAAUGAAUCAUGGCAUGAAUAUGUGGAGGUUGUAAGAAGAAGAAGAACUUGAAAAAAACAGCGAUUCCCUUUUAUUUCUCAUCUUUCUCUCUUCCAGACCUGAAGAUGCAAAGUAUUAGCAAGUGCAGGGCUUCAACAAAUAGCACGUGCUAUUUAUGUAGGGAGAGGAGGAAACUGUUAGGAGAUUCAGGUCACUUUCACCCACAGUUAGUGUUAUCAUUUUAUUUAGAAUCUGGAAUUGUAUUCUAUCUUGUGAAAAGUAACUUUAAAGAAUUAAAUUGAGUAUGUAUAUCUUAGAGUUAAACAUUCUUUAAUCAACAAGAAUAGGUGAGUAACAAUCCAACUGUAUGCUUCCUGACUCUCCCUUCACAGUGACAAUGGAUUUCUCUUUUCUUUUCAUGAGUGAACUAGUAUGAAAAUAUCAGUUCCUCUUUCACACUGUGGUUUCUCUAUCUUUCGCAGAAGUCUGAAUGUGGAGCCUCCAGUGGGCCGUGGCUUGUUAGGGUACAUUCUCCUUCUCAGAGCCACUUAUCAAUAGCUCUUUACAACUGGAGAAAAAAACUCACAGCAAUAAAUUUGCUUCUAACUGGAAUGCUUAAAACUUAACUAGGAAAAUCCAUGAACCAACUGUUUUCCAAUUCUAGUUUGUGGUACAUAAUCUGAAAUUACAAAAAAAAAAAAAAAAAGAAACAACAGCAACAAAAAAAACAGGUGAAUUUGGCUCAUGUUCAGAGUCAGCUCUGUACCAGCGCUAUUCUGUACAAUCCAGAACACUUGUUCCAAGUGUCCAAGCAGAAAAACCAUGCCUGGCCUUGAGAAAUGGAGUGGAGAAUCCAUUAGUAUUUCGAAAACCUGUGGGUUUAAUUUUAAAUGUCUGUUUAUGAGGAUUACCUGGAAUCUAGCCUUCCCCAGAAGAAAGGGGAAGAAUAAAGGCAUUUCCUUUUUUUAAGCAGAAAAAACCCAAAUCUUGCAAAACUCCAUUUUAAAACACUAUGCUCCAUUUGGUGUAAGGGGUAUUAAAGCAUCUUUGUGAAGAUUUAAUGCAUCACAUUUUAUUGUUCAAAUUACCAAUAUUUUGCUAAGAAAGUGUUUAAUAGCCUUUAUUGUUCCUUUUGAGACAAAAUAAAUCCAUGCUUUAAAAAAUGCAAAAAUUAGUAAAUAAAUAUGAAAAUAAUGUAUAGUCUUGCCAUUAAGUGAUAACCUCUAUUAGUAACAUUUAUAGCCUUUAGAACUUUUUCUAUGCAAAAGCCAGGUACCGUGGCUCAUGCCUGUAAUCCUAGCUACUUAGGAGGCUGAGGGAGGAGGACCGCUUGGGCACAACAGAUCGAGGUUGCAGUGAGUUAUGAUCAUGUCACUGGGUGACAAGAGUGAGAUCCCAUCUCUAAAAUAAAAAAAAGUGAAUGUUCUAUACAUAUAUGUGUAGUUAUAAAAAUGUAACCAUAUUACGUGCAUUAUGUUCUUGUAGUCUGUUUUUUAUUAUGUAAUUUCACUAUGUAAUCUGUUUUUAAUUAUGAACAUAUGUUCAUGCCAUUGAAUAUACAUGGACACCAUCAUUUUUAAUUACAACAUUUCAUUACAUACAUUUACCAUGUUAUUUUCUGUUGGCCACUUAAGUCAUUUCAAAUUUUUCUUAUCAUAAACAAUGUUUUAAUUGACAUACUCAUGUACCUAAUCGGGUGAACAGAGUGCAACAAAAGCACAUGUGAUGGACACUUAGCCCAGUAUAAGGAAGUCAGCAAAAGGUUCUCAGAAGCGGAAACCUCCAAGAUGAGACCUCAAAGCUGAGAUCUGAGAAGCCCAUCUGUAAAUGAUGAAGAGAAGUAAGCCGAACACCCUUUCUGAACCUAAGCUGAACACCCUUUCUGAACCUAAGCUGAACACUCUGUUUAUUCUUAAUCUUUCUUUAAUUAAUAAUUUAGUACAAUAUUUAGUUUCAUGUUCUCACUGACCCUCAGAAUUCAGAAAUUUUUACUCUUUUCUCUCUUUUUCU